GUAGUAAGUGUACAGUUCAUCGCGUCGAUUUCGGCAGAAGCGACACGUCUGCUUUCAAGUUUCAGGUGUCCGUUUAUUAUGGAAGGUGGAAGUAUUGUUUGUUGAAAAGUAUAAAUACUAAUCGUAGUAUCCUACCGAUCAACCCAACAGUCUAAGAAUUAUCAAAAAUGCGGAUCGUUCAAUUGAAGAGAACCCGUUUUGUCAAUAUUUUGCUGGGUCUAAUGUUGUUUGUGAUAAUUGUAUAUGCACUUUUUGUGUUUUCAUCCGAUGACCAGCCUAGCAAUCUGAAAAACUACUGGGCUGCGGCAUCUAAAUCUCGACAGUUACCAGUGAUCAGUGAUGACUUAGGAAACUUUGAGCCACGAAAUGUAGUGGUGAGAAUAGGCCCUGGUGAGGAGGGUAAGGCUCACAUUUUGAGAGAAGAUCAACAAAAUGAUGUACAGCAAUCAGAGUCUGAUUAUGGCAUGAACAUGGUUUGUUCUGAUGAAAUUUCUUUGGAUAGAUCUGUUCACGACACCAGGCCAGCCGAGUGCAAGCGUUGGAAUUAUGCAACUGAUUUGCCAAAAACCAGCGUUAUUAUAGUAUUUCACAAUGAAGGAUGGUCCGUCUUAAUGCGUACCGUACACAGCGUGAUAAAUCGAACACCACCAGAGUUUUUGGAAGAGGUACUUUUGGUUGACGACUAUUCUGACAAAGACAAUUUGAAAGGCGAUCUGGAGUCGUACGUCGAACGAUGGGAUGGUAAAGUACGUCUCAUACGAAAUCAUGAGAGACAGGGCUUAAUAAGAACGAGAUCCAGGGGAGCCCGAGAGGCUACUGGUGAAGUGAUUGUGUUUUUAGAUGCCCAUUGCGAGGUCAACACUAAUUGGUUACCACCAUUACUUGCACCAAUAUAUGUGAACAGCAAGGUGAUGACUGUUCCGGUGAUCGAUGGAAUAGAUCACAAGACUUUCGAAUACAGGCCAGUCUAUCAGGAGGGUCAUUUGUAUCGAGGUAUCUUCGAGUGGGGAAUGUUGUACAAAGAAAACGAGUUGCCCAGGAGAGAGGCGAAAACACGCUCGCAUGAUAGCAUGCCCUAUAAGUCACCAACUCAUGCCGGGGGCCUAUUUGCUAUCAACCGUGAAUAUUUUCUAAGUCUGGGUGGUUACGACGAUGGCCUCUUGGUUUGGGGUGGUGAAAACUUCGAGCUUUCUUUCAAAAUAUGGCAAUGUGGAGGCAGCAUUGAAUGGGUGCCUUGUUCUCACGUCGGGCAUGUUUAUCGGGGCUUCAUGCCUUACACGUUUGGUAAACUGGCUCAAAAGAAGAAAGGCCCUCUGAUCACGAUUAAUUACAAACGGGUGAUUGAAACUUGGUUUGAUGAAAAGCACAAGGAGUUCUUCUAUACAAGAGAACCCUUAGCAAGAUUACUCGAUCAUGGAGAUAUCACAGAGCAGUUAGCUAUGAAAGAAAGGCUACAGUGUAAAGACUUUCAGUGGUUCAUGGAUAACGUGGCCUACGAUGUACUUGACAAAUAUCCAGAAUUGCCGCCAAAUGUUCAUUGGGGAGAGCUUCGCAGUGUUGCCACUGCCUCGUGUCUGGAUACCAUGGGUCACCCUCCACCUAACCUGAUGGGGACUUCUCACUGCCAUGGGUUUGGCAAUAAUCAGCUCAUAAGACUCAAUGCCAAAGGGCAAUUGGGUGUUGGAGAACGUUGCAUAGAAGCUGAUGGAGAGAGUGUAAAAUUGGCGUUUUGUAGGCUUGGGACUGUCGAUGGACCCUGGCAGUACGACGAGAAAACAAAAACUCUUAUGCACAGGGUGCAUAAAAAGUGUAUGGCAUUACAUCCCCAGACACAGCAUUUAUCUUUGAUGCCCUGUGACGUUAAUAAUACUUAUCAACAGUGGACCUUCCAUCAAAUGCAUCCACGCUGGUGAGGUUUAAAGGAGGAACAUUAAGUUUUUCAUCAGUUAUUACCGAAGCAAAUGCCAAGUAGAAAUAUUUGUCUGACAUAAAAUUGUUGAAUCUGCUCCAAUGAUAUAAAGCCAGUAGUUUGUUUCUCUCUUUUGUAAAUGCUCUAAAGGCCGCUCUCAAUCCAACAUUGUCGGCAAUAUUUUCGGAUAACGUGUACUUGCCGUCUAUCUAUUGAUGAGACAAUGACUUCUGUACCAAGUUAAGUUUAAUUUAAUUUAAAUAAUGAAAUGGUAAAAUCUUUACAGUUGCUUUAGAAUCUCCCGAAAUGUACUGGUUAUAUUGUUUGAUGAAGCAUUUUAUUUUUGUCGCGUAUACUUGUUCAGUUGACUGGGACCACCAGCCUUUCAAUGAGCCUUCAGCAUCCAAUAAUCGUCCUGAAUACAUGAACAAUCGAUUAACUUCUCGCGAAGGAUACCUUCCACUAUUGCCAGAGAAGAAUGGUUCUGCCAUUGUGCUGAUGGGAAAUACUGUUUUAACAAAGAAUAGACACCAAUGAAGGACAAAGUGGGAUCACGAAGAAACGUAAUUGUUGAAUUACGACAUGUAGUACGUACGUAUUCUAUUAUUUAUUCCGUUGUAAUAAGCGUUGACGAUUAGUGGUGAUUGCGUCCAUCUGGAAUGGUCGAUUAAUUAGGCUUAAAUACUGAGAUUAUUAAGUUUUUAUUACUCUUAUUUGUAAUGUGAUUUUAUUGAUCCUAUUAUACACACGAAUUUCUAUUUCGGUAGGUUCGUAACUCCGCGAAAUUUUUCCAUUGACUGAAACUUCGAAGUCUAUUCAUAUUUCCAAAAUGGUCGUACCUGUAAAUUUUCAGCUAAAACGAAUUUUCAUUAUUUGAUUUUUUUGAAACCAUGCAAUCGUCAUUCACGAUAGAUUUCUAACUUCUUGAUUCUAGAUCAUAUACCUUUCUGUAAUACUGAUCCACUUGUGAUUCAGUUUUUAAAUAAUCCGGGCUUCCAGUUAGUAUCAGUAUGCUAUUCAAUUUGUAGAUUGCAUAAUUUUUGGUAAAGUCGUCCAUCCAUUCUGCCUCAUCUAUCAAUUCUUCCAAAGCGUCUCUCAACUUUUCCAUCAUUUCCUGCGCCCUUUUGAUUCUUUCUUCGCUAACAUAUUUUUCUCGGUAUUUUUGUGCGACGGUGAAGCUCAGUCCGAUUUUCGGAAAAUCUAAAACCUUCAGCAUUCAACAGUUGACCAGAUGUUUGAAAUUUAAAAAAAUAUAAAUUCUUUAAAAUUAGUUCGGCACUGUUGAGUACCCCAUCAGUUCAAACAAACUAAAAUUGUACUAAGAAAUGAGACGCACAAUCGAUGGUCGAAUGCAGCGAAAAUAAAACAUUGAUUUAUCACGAAAUUAGACCUUGUGGAGACAAUACUUCCAUGUUGGAUAACCUGGAGGCACGUAUCCGCGAUUUAUGUAGAAAUCCAUUGAAAUAUUGUACAUUUCUGAUGACAAUUCAGGUGCCAUAAAAGUGACCAUCCGACUAUAGACGAAAUCAUCUGGAAAUUAUUCGUAAUUUCUUUUACUUCGAUAUUAAAAUUAUACCAGGAAUAUUCCUUUAUUGUUAUUCUAUUUUACUAUAGUAACUUCGAGGAAGAGAUUCGUGAUGCGACCUCGAGGCUGGUCGCAUAUUUUUAUUUCGUUGUACUUACUCAACAGCUCCUUUCCCGUUUCGUGCGCGUAUAUUAACAAGUUACGCAACAGACUUCGAUUCGUGAUAAAAAUCUGCGUGUCAUCGUUCACUUUGACCCUAGACUUUUUGAAGACGAUCUGUAGAUACGUUCUCCAAUUAAUCUGUAUGAUUGGGGAAAAAAAACACUACGAAUAAAAAAUUUAUGACAGUUUUGACAACUUAUCAAAGCUGGAUUAUCAUUGUGCUUGAUCACGAAGAUGGAAGAAAAAUAAUCGAAAAUAAACAAAUACAGAUUCUCAUCCGCUCACCGUGUCGGUAAAUUGAUCCAGUACUUCGUCUGUCCAAGCUUGUAAUUUUGCCAACGUCGUACUUCCUACGUUAGGAAUAUUAGUCUUCGCGGUAUCUCUGCCGUAAUUUAAUUCCUAAGACAAAACCCCAGGGAUAUUUUUAUUAUUCAAUAAUUCUGAUUGCUUUAAUCGAAGAGGAUCUGAUCAAUCAGAAAGAGGUAUUUUGAAUACGGUACCUUUGGAUCCGCCAAGACGUUCAUGAAUUCGUUGAUACUUCUCGCUUUCGCGCUGAUUUCAUAAUCGCUGAUGUCACUUUGAGUAAAAUCCCGCAAUAUGAUCAUAAUUUUUGACAAAUAUUCGAUAAAGGUAGAGUCGGUUCUACUGGAAAAAUCAUUGUCCAAAAUCCGUACUGGUUGUCGCAGCAAUGCAGUAGGCAAUGUCAAAUCAUCGUGCUCGAUCUAGAUGGGUAAUAUUUUUUCACUUGUGCCGCAACAAGGGGAACUUCGGUUAUUCUGAAGUAUUUCUCUUAUACGGUACGAAAUGCUUAUUGUUGUACAAAAUGCACUUGAAACUUGAAAUUUGAUUUAAAAAAGGCGACGCAGAAUUAUGCUCUAAUACAUACAUAUAUCGAAGUUUUCGUUGCAUUCCAUAUAUCAGUUCGAACUGUUAGUUUGAAAAAAAAUUGCACGCCAUAAUUAGCAACGAAUCUAGCCAUUCUUCGCCAAUCGGCCGAAGUUAUUUUAGACAUCGUACUCUCCUCAUUUUUUUUCGGCCAAAUUUCUUCCAAUACUUUUAACAUUGGUGAAAUUCCUCUCCUAUCACGAGUUUUUGUAUCUAUACAAGCUGCGUACAUGUCCUGGGCUUUUACAAAAGACUUUGAAUCUCCCACAGAUCUUUCGUUCUCCAAUAAUUCUGUGGAUAAAUAUGCAUAAAGUUUGAUUUUUUUUUAAUUCCAUAUGUCCAAAACCAUAAAUAAAUUAUUUUACGUUUAGCAUCUCCAAUUUUAAUUUGUCAUUCAAACAAAAAUGUACCUUUCAAUCGUUCAUCGACUUCUCUUUGCAAUCUGAUAAACCCGUCCCAAAUACUAUACCCCUCGGGGACAGGAUGUACAUUUUGAAAAUUUCCACAAGCAAAAGUGUAAAAAUCAUCACAGGGAUUCUUUGAAUAAUCCACGUAUGGAAAAAGAUUAUCCAUCCGUAUCAGAAAGGGCAAUUGAAUGAAAAUGGUCACGACGAUCAACCUUGAAACGCGUAAAGAAGACGAAUAAUGAUUAGUUUUUUUACAGACCAUGUUGAUAACGUUGGAAUAAUCACAGAAUCUGAUGAUGUUGCGUAGAAAGAAAUAGAAAAUCGAAUUAGGAUCUAUAAGUACCUCAUGGUGUGCAAAUUUGUGGCUGACAAUGAAUGUGUAUUAUUCGUAUUCCUGCACUGCUUUACUGAAGAGCACUAAAACAUUUUUUCCAGUGAAUCCCUUCCACAAACCCGCAAUUUGCGACCAAACAUCGUCAAUGUUAUGAAAAUACGCGGAAUGUAUCUAAAUGUGCAUUUUCUUAUCGCGCCCAAGUAUAACUGGAUUUACGAAUGAACAAUACAUAGAGCUCGAAACUGAUUUUCAUGUCACAUUCACACGACUCUAUAGAAGUGGUGGUCCAUAUCUAAUCGCUGAAAUUGUUACGUUUAAAGAACGGAAGCGACAGAGCGAUACGCGUCUACUCCCGCUGAUUCGUCUCGUACUGUUUAAAUGGAAUCGUAAUUAUGCUUCUUAAUAAUCUAACGUGUAUAAAAGUAAUAUGUAAAAAUUCUGGAGUAAUUACUACUGCCCAUUAUGAUAACAAAAUAAUUUUUCAAUUGAAUACAUUCUUUUGGUACCACAAAUAUUAGAAAUUUUUUGUUUUCUGCAUGCUACGACUUAGGUGGGAAUGAAACGGUAGAUGUAUGUAGUCCGAAAUAUUUUUAAAUUCAUUUUAUUAUAUAAUCUCAUAUGAAUACAAGAAGUGCAUAAGAGUGAAGCAUUUAACGUAGCUUUAGUUGGAAUAAGAGAAUCGACUCCAAGACGUAGAUCCUCAGUAAUAUGUCGAACGUCAACGUAUCGAUAUCGAUUAAUAAUGAAUUGUGUAAAGCGUUAUUCUCGGGAAAAGCCAAUG
rnacentral:misc_RNA from 1 species